ACGCACGCUGGCGGCGUGCCUAAUACCUGCAAGUCGAACGCUUCUUUCCUCCCGAGUGCUUGCACUCAAUUGGAAAGAGGAGUGGCGGACGGGUGAGUAACACGUGGGUAACCUACCCAUCAGAGGGGGAUAACACUUGGAAACAGGUGCUAAUACCGCAUAACAGUUUAUGCCGCAUGGCAUAAGAGUGAAAGGCGCUUUCGGGUGUCGCUGAUGGAUGGACCCGCGGUGCAUUAGCUAGUUGGUGAGGUAACGGCUCACCAAGGCCACGAUGCAUAGCCGACCUGAGAGGGUGAUCGGCCACACUGGGACUGAGACACGGCCCAGACUCCUACGGGAGGCAGCAGUAGGGAAUCGUCGGCAAUGGACGAAAGUCUGACCGAGCAACGCCGCGUGAGUGAAGAAGGUUUUCGGAUCGUAAAACUCUGUUGUUAGAGAAGAACAAGGACGUUAGUAACUGAACGUCCCCUGACGGUAUCUAACCAGAAAGCCACGGCUAACUACGUG
rnacentral:rRNA from 1 species